GUCAUCAUCACCUAAUGUCCCACUGUGUCCAGAGACAACUUGGUUCAGAGGUAAGAUGGAUUACAGUCUGUUCUUUAUUCUCAGUAACUUGACUGAAGUUAGGAAGGUUAUUUGAGUAUCAACCUUUCAUUAAUUCUUUUAAGAUUUAAGAUCAGACCCAGUCUUAUCCCAUCUUCAACCACAUAAAUGCAGCACUUUGUGCAUUAAGCAAGUAGUGGGGUGGAAAAAGUUCCUUUGAAGAGGCAGAACAGAAACCCCGAGCAGAACUAGACUCAUGUUAGACAGUCAUCUACUGAGACUGUGCUGGGAUUAGAAAGAGAGAGAUGUAGAGAAACUAAAGUAUUUACAGAUGAACGGUUACAGUCCCAAAAACAAUAGAACAAAAAUGCCUACUAUUCACUGGAACAGCGUUUUUUUUUCCACCUUUAAAUAAAUCAGGACAACUUCUGUUUUUUUGUGGCAGGCGAAUAAUUUUAGCUGAUCAGUUGUUUCCAAAAUCAAAUCAAGUAGCAUAACCAUUUUAUAUAUAUAUUUUUUCCUUAACAGAGUUCACAUCACAGAAUACUAGUCUUAUACCACUGUUUUGAAAAUACUUAGAAAAUAAUUGUGUAGUGACUGGUGCUCAUUAGUUAGACAGCUCGACCCAUGUGGGAUCUAAAUCAGUGGUUCUGAACCUUUAUUUCCUUGGAGUCCACCUUACUGACUUAUAUCAUAGGGUUGUAUUUAAUAUGUGCGAAGAUGAUUUUGACAACCUCAGAGUAGACAGAGCCUCUGAGAUUUCUGGAGACCCCCUAGAGGGCACUAUUCACAGAAAAAGAACAAAUGGUUGAAGGUUUGGUUAAAGCACAGAAUUGAACUGUUUUCCCAGUUUCUCUAACGGGGCCACAGAUUUAUGUACAGUAGUAAAAUCAGGAGGUACGUACAUUGGACUUCCACACCAUAAAUCCUACUGAAAUGAUCAUGAUUUUGUCUUUGGAGUCAUUUUACAAAAAGGCCAUUAACAAACCACAUCUGACUUAAAAUUCAUAAAUGCUUGAGACCGAAGUACUACAUCUAAAACACAUUAUGGUCUCAUUUUGAACGAAACACUGUGAUGUCAUGUUGAUUUUUCUCUUUUAACAGUGAUUCAAAAGUAGGUAUUCUCAAUUAGUCCAACAAGCUGAUGAAAAAGAGGAGUGAGGAGCUCAGAAAUUGUUAACUGUUGAUGUAAACAAGUCGUGGGGGUCAUCAGGGAGGUUCAAUAUGAGAAACUGUAGCUGAGCUUCUUACGUAAUUAGAAAAUAUUCAUAAUUGAGAGUAUAUAUGGUGGAAGGAGGGUGGGGUAUCUGUGAGUUAAAACAUGAUGAAUCACAAACAACUUUAUAAAUCUACUGAAGCAAAGAGUCAGAAAAAAGAGAUGGAAGAAAUGUAUUAUGACAAAGAACUUAGGAUAGACUGAUUUGUAAAGUCAGUUUUAGUAUUUUACAAAAGUAACUAUAGAAAGAAUAACUUUGAAAAAGCUCAUGUACAAUUUCUACUUUAAUUAAAAUACCAAAAAUUUCAUCUCUCAACACGGCCUGUUAUUCUGAGAAAGGACUGCAGAUGAAAAUGAGUCAGUCUGAGCGAAAUCAAGGACAUUAACAUUUUUAUUGAUGUGGAAUUAUUUUCCCUAUUCUCAAUGAAUGAAUACAAAUGAGCAUUAGAUAAAAAGAAUUUGGUAUGACUUAGUUUUCCAUAAUUCUAGAUAAAGAAGUCAUUUAAGUCCAGAACAACACACACACACAGAGGAGGAAAAUUGCAUUAGGUUGACAAAAUACUGUCAGAAUUUACACAUAACUGCAUAUUUGCUAUGCACUUUUGUCCUUUACAGACACGCACAGUUUUCUAAAUGUCACUCUCAUAUGCACUGCCUGCUACACACUAGGAGAAAUACAGCUCUUACAUCAAACUUUCAUCAAACAGCCUGAAGGCAAAUGGAAACACACCUGAGCCCCUGUGUGCUUCUGCGAGUACACACAAUCUUGACAUGUCAUAUGAUGCUCAUCCUUGUCCCACUAUUUCACAAUGUCUUUAUUAGUGAUACGGGGCAAACGCACCGAGGCACUGGUCCAGUAGGCCUCGAGCAGACCCUUGAUUUGUGACUUUACUUUGGGC